UGGGGAAUAUUGCACAAUGGGCGAAAGCCUGAUGCAGCAACGCCGCGCGAGUGAUGAAGGCCUUCGGGUUGUAAAGCUCUGUCUUUUGGGACGAUAAUGACGGUACCAAAGGAGGAAGCCACGGCUAACUACGUGCCAGCAGCCGCGGUAAUACGUAGGUGGCAAGCGUUGUCCGGAUUUACUGGGCGUAAAGGAUGCGUAGGCGGAUUUUUAAGUGAGAUGUGAAAACCCUAAGCUUAACUUGGGGACUGCAUUUCAUACUGGAAAUCUAGAGUGCGGGAGAGGAGAAUGGAAUUCCUAGUGUAGCGGUGAAAUGCGUAGAGAUUAGGAAGAACACCAGUGGCGAAGGCGAUUCUCUGGACCGUAACUGACGCUGAGGCAUGAAAGCGUGGGUAGCAAACAGGAUUAGAUACCCUGGUAGUCCACGCCGUAAACGAUGAGUACUAGGUGUAGGAGGUAUCGACCCCUUCUGUGCCGCAGUUAACACAAUAAGUACUCCGCCUGGGAAGUACGAUCGCAAGAUUAAAACUUAAAGGAAUUGACGGGGGUCAUAGCUGUUUU
rnacentral:rRNA from 1 species